UACGAAGGGGGCUAGCGUUGCUCGGAAUUACUGGGCGUAAAGCGCACGUAGGCGGCUUUCUAAGUCGGAGGUGAAAUCCUGGAGCUCAACUCCAGAACUGCCUUCGAUACUGGAGAGCUUGAGUCCGGGAGAGGUGAGUGGAACUGCGAGUGUAGAGGUGAAAUUCGUAGAUAUCAGGAGGAACACCAACGGCGAAGGCAGCUCGCUGGGACGUUACUGACGCUGAGACGCGAAAGCGUGGGGAGCAAACAGG
rnacentral:rRNA from 1 species